rnacentral:lncRNA from 1 species
AGGGAGGUUACCAGGCUGGUGUUGCAGUGUGUGUGUGUGUGUGUGUGUGUGUAUGUGAGAGAGAGAGAGAGAGAGAGAGCGAGCAUUGAUGUGAGUCAUGGCUCCUCAGGUUCUGUUUCCUCCAAAGCCAGAGCUAACCUGCCUCCAUCUUCAACCAGAUACCUGACCCAAAAACUCCAAGAAGACAGGAAGGAAGAGAAAGAAGAUGGAGAAAGGCGAGCUAGACGUGGCUCCGGCCUGUCUGGAGGGGAACCUGCUGGCACAGAAGCCCUGGUGACCUUGGAGCAGCCCUCAGCGUGCAGGCUGCAGUCAUGGGCAUGCGGAGGCUGCAGGAGUGCGAGAACCCCAGGCCAGUCCACACCAUGUCGCCACUGUGCCCUGGGCCUGUUCUGGGCCUUUGCUGCCUUUCCCUGGCAUGGCCCCCAGCGCUUUUACUGGGACCUUGCUGCGAGAGCUCCUUCUUAUGUCCCCACUGAGCCCUGUCCCUCUGCAGAGCUGACACUGUCCCUGCCCUCCACCUGCAUGUGCCCUCCAUGCUUCACAGAAACAGUCUCUGAUCCGGAAGCUUCCUUCUGCCCCAGGUCCCCUCUGCACCCCUUGGCAGGGAGCUCUGCUCAGAUGUCACUUCACACUGAUGGGAGCUGAGCCCUGGGAGCCACUGGACUUGCUGUGGGGUCCUGUGGGCUGGUGGGUUUGUGGUCAAUUACCAAAUGUCUUUUCUCUGGAGUGGUCUGACUUCUGACGAGACUCCCCAGCUCCUGGGGAGGGGAGGAACACAGUGGCCUCCCACUUCCUACAGGCUGGGCAGCAAUUCCUCGAUCCUGGCACUGCCCUCUUGGGACACCUGGGGUGUGGGACCUGCUGGGCUCUCACUGGUGGCUUUGGGCCCUGCCUGGGCUGGACUGUCCCUGUCUAUACCACCAGCCCCAGCUCUGCUCUCCCGCUAUAACUGAUGGCCUCAGGGUGCCAACACCUCCAAGUUUUUGAAGUUUGUUUUCCUGGUUUUCUCCUCAUAGUUUCAUGGACAUUUCAGGGAUCACGGCAAAAGGCUUUUUCUCAAUGUUUUGAAAUCAAAGUUUAGAACAAUACUAGUUAAAAAAAAAAAGUCAAAGCAGCCCAUAUUUAAUUGGUUAGAAGAAAAGCACAGGACUGUGUUGAACAGAGUCCUCAGCUCUCCCUCUGCAGGUGAACUCCCCCACCCUGUUCUCACAGACCCUUCCAGAAAUUCUCCGUGCCUGUGAAAGUUCACAUGUGGGGUUUGAUCUUUCCCUUCUUUCAUUAAACUUAGAUAGGAUCGUGCUGAGUGUACUGUUUUGUGACUGUCUUUUUUUCCUACUUUUUUUUUUGUGUGUGUUGUUAGGGGGGUUGAACUCGGGGCACUCGACUACAGAGCCAUAUCCCCAGCCCUAUUUUGUAUUUUAUUUAGAGGUUUCACUGAGUUGUUCAGUGCCUUGCUUUUUGCUGAGGCUGGCUUUGAGCUCCCAGUCCUCCUAUUUUGGCCUCCUGAGCUGUCGGGAUUACAGGUGUGCGCCACUAUGCCUGGCUUUUUUUCUCCUUUUUUUUAAACAUAUUUAUUUAUUUAUUUAUUUUUUUAGUUAUUGGCAGACACAACAUCUUUGUUGGUAUGUGGUGCUGAGGAUUGAACCCGGGCCGCACACAUGCCAGACGAGCGUGCUACCACUUGAGCCACAUCCCCAGCCCCCUUUUUUUCUCCUUUUUAAACAUCAUCUUGAAGGUCCUUUGGAGGAUUCCCCCUGGAGGAUUCGCUGCAUGCACCCAGCCCUAAUCCCUGGGGCCCCGAAGGCCACAUUCACUGGCUCUGCUGUGCCCAGUCCACUGGUGGGUGAGGAGGGACAAUCUCUGGGUCACUGUACCCCACUCUUUCCAGUGCAGCCUCUUGUUGCCAGGUUUCAGGAUGACUCUGUCACUUCACAGGGUCAUUGUCUAAGUGUGUCACCUUGGGAGUUGUGUUCUGGAGGGAAGCAUGUGAGGCUGUGAUUUGGAAAGCAUGUGCUGAAGGCUGGAUAGUGUCAGGGCAGCUUCUCUGAUCUGUGCAGUGGUGAGGCCGCAGAGGUCCCGGGUGUUUUUGGAGUAAGAUGGCAUUUUUAGUGUGAGGGCUGUUGUAAAUGUCAGUCAAUUGAUUCUGCCCAACUUCUGGCAGCUUGAGGGAGGUGAAAACAAGCCCCUGCAUGCACCGAAUUCUCAGUCUUCCAUGCUUUCAGUUUUUGUUGUUUUUUUCCCCCCAAAUUUCAGUUUGGUUUACUAGAGUGUCAAGUAGGUUUACAAGUACUGCACUCAUCAUUCAGCUCACAGAAGGCCAACAUUAAGGGAGAUAUUUUUCUCCAAAAGAGAUAAGCUUUCAGAAUCUUUAAUAUGUUAAAAUUACACAGGCAAAGAUAAAACCUCAUGUCCCAUUCCAUACCCCUUCCUGCUUCCUGCUGUUGUACAGCUUGCUGCAAAUGGGAAUUUUAGUUGUUUGAAUAAUGGUUUAAAAGUCAUCCCUUGCUCAUUAAAUUAAUUUUGAGUAAAACUGGAUGAGACUUUUCUUUAUGCUUUCUUCCUUACCCCAAACAAAUAGAAAACACAGUGCUCAUACUACAAGAUCAAAUGCAACCAUAAACCUUGGAGGUGAAAUUCAAGUACAAAUUCCCUCCCUUGGGAAUGUGGACACCAGACCAAGGAGAUCAAUCUGGAGGACCCCAGUGGAGCCCGUGUGGGCACUAUGUAGCAGAUUGGAGCACACCUGUAGAGAGGGUAUUUUUAAUUUUUAUAACUUUUUUUUUUUUUUGGUACUGGGGAUUGACCCCAGGGGCACUUUAUGAUUGUGUUACAACUCCAGUCCUUUUAUUUAUUUAUUUAUUUAUUUUGUUUUGAGACAGGGGCUGGCUAAGUUGCUGAGGCUGACCUCAGACUUGUGAACCUCCUGCCUCAGCCUCCACAUUGCUGAGAUUAUAGGUGUGCACUACCACAACCUGGCUUACUUUUUGUAACUUAGUCACUAAUAAGCGGCACCUGUCAGCUGUAGAACCUUCUAGUGAAGUUACAGGUGCUCAUGGGGAUGGAUGAGCUUUGGAGCCUCUACUUCUCAGGUCCAACCAUGCUGUGUCCAGCGGUCCCAGGACUGCCCAGCAGGGCAGGCUGGCACUCUGUGGCCCCGGGUGACUUCAGUACCACCUGUGAGCCAAGAAUGGCCCAGGUGUUUUUUAAAGCUGGUUAAUGAAAACCCUCAGCAGGAGGGUGAGGAGACCUGGGAGGCCCACGCGGCCCUUUGUGGAAAACACUGCCUGCACCUCCCCAGGACCCCACGAGACCCUGGUCGACAUUGAUUGA